ensembl:snRNA Gm25886 predicted gene, 25886
GAAAGUACUUGGUUCAGCAGCUCCUUCAUAUAUUAAAAUUAAACAAUACAAAGAAGGUUACCAUGGCCACUGUGCAAGGAUAGCACACACAUUUAGGACGCAUUCUAUUUUUUUU